ACAAAAUGGCUGAAAAAUGUAUA
rnacentral:siRNA from 1 species